rnacentral:hammerhead_ribozyme from 1 species
AUCCAGUUGACGAGUCUUAAGUAGGACGAAACGCAUGUGUGCUGGAU